rnacentral:rRNA from 1 species
AUUGAACGCUGGCGGCAUGCCUUACACAUGCAAGUCGAACGGCAGCGGGGGAGAAGCUUGCUUUUCCUGCCGGCGAGUGGCGAACGGGUGAGUAAUACAUCGGAACGUGCCCUGUAGUGGGGGAUAACUAGUCGAAAGAUUAGCUAAUACCGCAUACGACCUGAGGGUGAAAGCGGGGGACCGUAAGGCCCCAUGCUAUAGGAGCGGCCGAUGUCUGAUUAGCUAGUUGGUGGGGUAAAGGCCUACCAAGGCGACGAUCAGUAGCUGGUCUGAGAGGACGAUCAGCCACACUGGGGCUGAGACACGGCCCAGACUCCUACGGGAGGCAGCAGUGGGGAAUUUUGGACAAUGGGCGAAAGCCUGAUCCAGCAAUGCCGCGUGUGUGAAGAAGGCCUUCGGGUUGUAAAGCACUUUUGUCCGGAAAGAAAUGGCUCUGGUUAAUACCUGGGGUCGAUGACGGUACCGGAAGAAUGAGGACCGGCUAACUACGUGCCAGCAGCCGCCGUAA